UUCUUGGUAAGCAGAACUAUUGAAAAUUGCAAGCCAGACGAAGAUUAGCAUGGCCCCUAUGCAAGGAUGACAUGCACAAAUCAAGAAAUGGUCCAAAUUUGU